CUAAUACAUGCAAGUCGAACGAACUUCCGUUAAUUGAUUAUGACGUACUUGUACUGAUUGAGAUUUUAACACGAAGUGAGUGGCGAACGGGUGAGUAACACGUGGGUAACCUGCCCAGAAGUAGGGGAUAACACCUGGAAACAGAUGCUAAUACCGUAUAACAGAGAAAACCGCAUGGUUUUCUUUUAAAAGAUGGCUCUGCUAUCACUUCUGGAUGGACCCGCGGCGUAUUAGCUAGUUGGUGAGGUAAAGGCUCACCAAGGCAGUGAUACGUAGCCGACCUGAGAGGGUAAUCGGCCACAUUGGGACUGAGACACGGCCCAGACUCCUACGGGAGGCAGCAGUAGGGAAUCUUCCACAAUGGACGCAAGUCUGAUGGAGCAACGCCGCGUGAGUGAAGAAGGGUUUCGGCUCGUAAAGCUCUGUUGUUAAAGAAGAACGUGGGUAAGAGUAACUGUUUACCCAGUGACGGUAUUUAACCAGAAAGCCACGGCUAACUACGUGCCAGCAGCCGCGGUAAUACGUAGGUGGCAAGCGUUAUCCGGAUUUAUUGGGCGUAAAGCGAGCGCAGGCGGUCUUUUAAGUCUAAUGUGAAAGCCUUCGGCUCAACCGAAGAAGUGCAUUGGAAACUGGGAGACUUGAGUGCAGAAGAGGACAGUGGAACUCCAUGUGUAGCGGUGAAAUG
rnacentral:rRNA from 1 species